UCCGUAGGUGAACCUGCGGAAGGAUCAUUACAGAAAUAGGAGAAGGUUGCUUAACUGCAAUCCUUUUCUUUCUACACAUGUGUUUUUCUUUUUUUUGAAAACUUUGCUUUGGUGGGCCCACGGCCUGCCAGAGAUUAAACUCAACCAAAUUUUUAUUUAAUUGUCAACUUGAUUAACUAAUAGUCAAAACUUUCAACAACGGAUCUCUUGGUUCUCGCAUCGAUGAAGAACGCAGCGAAAUGCGAUAAGUAAUAUGAAUUGCAGAUAUUCGUGAAUCAUCGAAUCUUUGAACGCACAUUGCGCCCUUUGGUAUUCCAAAGGGCAUGCCUGUUUGAGCGUCAUUUCUCCCUCAAACCCUCGGGUUUGGUGUUGAGCGAUACGCUGGGUUUGCUUGAAAGAAAGGCGGAGUAUAAACUAAUGGAUAGGUUUUUUUUUCCACUCAUUGGUACAAACUCCAAACAUUCUUCCAAAUUCGACCUCAAAUCAGGUAGGACUACCCGCUGAACUUAAGCAUAUCAAUAAGCGGAGGAAAA
rnacentral:rRNA from 1 species